AUUGAACGCUGGCGGCAUGCCUUACACAUGCAAGUCGAACGGCAGCACGGGUGCUUGCACCUGGUGGCGAGUGGCGAACGGGUGAGUAAUGUAUCGGAACGUACCAUUCAGUGGGGGAUAACGUAGCGAAAGUUACGCUAAUACCGCAUAUUCUCUGAGGAGGAAAGUAGGGGAUCGCAAGACCUUACGCUGAUUGAGCGGCCGAUAUCGGAUUAGCUAGUUGGUGAGGUAAAGGCUCACCAAGGCGACGAUCCGUAGCUGGUCUGAGAGGAUGAUCAGCCACACUGGAACUGAGACACGGUCCAGACUCCUACGGGAGGCAGCAGUGGGGAAUUUUGGACAAUGGGGGCAACCCUGAUCCAGCAAUGCCGCGUGAGUGAAGAAGGCCUCGGGUUGUAAAGACUCUUUGUUCUAGGGAAGAAACGGUAGAGUUCUAAUACAGACUUGCUAAUGACGGUACCUGAAGAAUAAG
rnacentral:rRNA from 1 species